rnacentral:rRNA from 1 species
AUGGUGAUCUUGGGCAAGUCUGUCGUUUGUGCAGUGCAAGCAACUAAUGGAGUUUAUGCUACUCUGCGCUGCUCUGCUCUGUUCUCUGAAAGCAGCUCAGGAAUUGGGAGUGAUGUAUACUGGACCAAACAAAUGGUGGUGAGAUCCUGCUGUCAGUAUGGUCUAGCAAUCUGUUGUUUCUUCGAUCAGUGCAAUCAGAUUAAGUUCAGAUCUUGCCGUCCCUCGUGCGUCUGUGAUAAGCAUGAUCAGCAUGAUAAGCAGGCUUGGUGCAGCCGUGCGAGACCGUCCUUGCGGACUUACCUGGCGCCGGUGCUCCUGUACUGCAGUGGCGUACGGGCCAGUUUGAUGAUCUUUUCUAUGGACAAGAAUGGAUGUGCUGCCAACUCCCGUAUGCUAAAUACUGUAGUUAGAAGGUUACUUCGGAAAGGGCUGGGACUUGUCUGUCUAAAAUUGAUUAGAGAAGCUUCCACAGCUAGCUUGUUGACUGCACUUGCUUCUGGUGGGAAAAGGCCAGGAAUAUAA